GCGCCCGUAGCUCAGCUGGAUAGAGUACUUGGCUACGAACCAAGGGGUCGGGGAUUCGAAUUCCUCCGGGCGCACCA
rnacentral:tRNA from 3 species